rnacentral:lncRNA from 1 species
UUCCCCCAAAUCGUUUUCCUCUAAAUCCCUAACUUAGUUUUUUCCCCCAUCCAUCUACUGCUAGUAGUCUGUCCAAUCAUCCGUCUGCUACAUCGCCAUCGAUAGUGCAUUUACCAUCAAUCUCCAUCUCCUUCGUCCAUUGCUGCUUGACAAUCCUCUGUUCAUCUGACUCUUGUUUCGAAGCUUGACAAGAUCAUAAAUUAUUUGGAUUUAUUUAGAUUUGUCUGGUUAUGUUUAUAAUUUGCCUAGUGGGAGUCAUAAAUUAUUUGGAUUUAUGUAGUUUAAUAGCAUAUAGGAG